GUAGCUAGCAAAAUCUCAGUUGAUUUCAAAAAGUUAAGCAACGCUGGCCCUGGAUAGUACUUUCAUGGUAAACUGCCAAGAAAUACAAGGGCUAUAGACU
rnacentral:rRNA from 1 species